GGGCAUCGUAUAAUGGCUAUUACCUCAGCCUUCCAAGCUGAUGAUGCGGGUUCGAUUCCCGCUGCCCGCUCCA
rnacentral:tRNA from 2 species